rnacentral:misc_RNA from 1 species
GCGAAAGACAGCAGAUCCAUAAAACAUGGUGUUCAAACAAUGAAUGGUGGAGAAACAUCAUUAGAUGCCAUGUAUGUGUUGUCAACUACUGAUGGCUCAUUACGUGAUGAAGCGAUUGAUGCUUAUGAAGUUGCAUUCGAUGAAGGAAGCAAGUUAACUACCAGCCCAAAAAGCUUUGAACCUUGGCUUGGAAAGCUUCAACUGGGCAACGGUAUUUCCAUUAGAACUGUCAGAGAGAAAUUAUUUGCUAAAAGCACCAGUCUUACAACUUCUUCAUUAGACUGGAUGGGGACAGCUGCACCUGAUGUGAUUAAUAGUAGGGUUGGUAGUUUUGUUAUCUUCUGCAUCUUGGAUGUUGUCCAGUGCUUAUGAUUUUCCGCUGCCAGGACAUAUCCUAAUCCACGGUCCUUCCGGUUCAGGGAAAACAUUAUUAGCUACAGUUGCUGCUAAAUUUGCUGAAGAAAGUGAAG